UUGAUUCGUUUGUUUACGAUUCCACUCAGACAUGCUAAUUGACAAAAUACGAGGUUUCGGGUCCCCCGGCGGGCGCCUGGUUCCGGCGGCCUUUUCAGGGCCUUCCGGGGCGUCAACCCGCCGAGGCAACAGUAAGGGUAUAGGUUCACAGGGGUUUGGGAGUGGUGAGACUCGGUAAUGAUCCCUCCGCUGGUUCACCAACGGAGA
rnacentral:misc_RNA from 1 species